CGUUCCGCAAGAGGCGUGCAAACAGGUUUGGGCCAUAAAUGCGGUAGAGAAGGGUUGCGCCCGAACCUUCAGCAUUUAUGGCCCAAAGCCAAUACAAAGGAUUUCGGUUCCAUCUUGCUCGAAUCUUACUGUACCCCGGGAAGAACCCAGAGGAAAAGGGGAUUUUGUGCUGUGAAGGUGGGAUCGGUACACACGGAUAAGGACUAUCAUGAGGCUCUAUGUACUUCAUUCCGUUUACCCCGCCUUCCGAAUUCGACAUUUCCCAUUUUCCAUGGAAUAAGUAGGAUUCAGGUGAUAACGGGGAUAACCAUUGCUGUGGGUGAGGGAGAGAUAAAUAAUUUUCGACUCUAGGUUUAGGUGAUCCUUCCAAAUCAUAAGCCUUCUCCAGUGCCUGGGUGGGUGCGCGAAAUCAUCGAUUCUAAGUGCUAAUAAUAGGUAUUCCCCUACCCUUAAAUCAGUAGGGCAAGUCAAUUUAACCUUCCCCGCUGGAGGAUUCUGUAACCACUAGAUUCUUUCGAGGGCUUGGUUUGGAGAUAGCUGCAGGUUCUGAAAUGCAGACUCCUCACUACGCUACGGGGUCGGAUGAAGGGAUUCG